GGCGUUGGCCUAAUACAUGCAAGUCGAGCGGAACCUUUGGAGACUUGCUCCAUUGGUUUAGCGGCGGACGGGUGAGUAACACGUUGGGCAACCUGCCCUGCAGAUCGGGAUGAACUCCGGGAAACCGGUGCUAAUACCGAAUAGUUUUUUGCCCCUCCUGGGGCGAAACGGAAAGACGGUUUCGGCUGUCACUGCAGGAUGGGCCCGCGGCGCAUUAGCUAGUUGGUGGGGUAAUGGCCCACCAAGGCGAACGAUGCGUAGCCGACCUUGAGAGGGUGAUCGGCCACACUGGGACUGAGACACGGCCCAGACUCCUACGGGAGGCAGCAGUAGGGAAUCUUCCGCAAUGGACGCAAGUCUGACGGAGCAACGCCGCGUGAGUGACGAAGGUUUUCGGAUCGUAAAACUCUGUUGUGAGGGAAGAACAAGUACCAACUAACUACUGGUACCUUGACGGUACCUCACCAGAAAGCCACGGCUAACUACGUGCCAGCAGCCGCGGUAAUACGUAGGUGGCAAGCGUUGUCCGGAAUGAUUGGGCGUAAAGCGCGCGCAGGCAGUCCCUUAAGUCUGAUGUGAAAGCCCACGGCUCAACCGUGGAAGGUCAUUGGAAACUGGGGGACUUGAGUGCAGAAGAAGAAAGUGNCUUCCACGUGUAGCAGUGAAAUGCGUAGAGAUGUGGACGAACACCAGUAGCGAAGGCUACUGUCUGGUCUGUAACUGACGCUGAGGCACGAUUGCGUGAGCAGCCACAGGAUAGAUACCCUGGUAGUCACGCGCUCACGAUAGUCUAGUGUAGGGG
rnacentral:rRNA from 1 species